rnacentral:rRNA from 1 species
UCGAGCGGCAGCGCGGGGGCAACCCUGGCGGCGAGCGGCGAACGGGUGAGUAACACAUCGGAACGUACCCUGUCGUGGGGGAUAGCCCGGCGAAAGCCGGAUUAAUACCGCAUACGACCUGAGGGUGAAAGCGGGGGAUCGCAAGACCUCGCGCGAUAGGAGCGGCCGAUGGCGGAUUAGCUAGUUGGUGAGGUAAAGGCUCACCAAGGCGACGAUCCGUAGCUGGUCUGAGAGGACGACCAGCCACACUGGAACUGAGACACGGUCCAGACUCCUACGGGAGGCAGCAGUGGGGAAUUUUGGACAAUGGGGGCAACCCUGAUCCAGCCAUUCCGCGUGAGUGAAGAAGGCCUUCGGGUUGUAAAGCUCUUUCGGCAGGAACGAAACGGUGGAGGCUAAUACCUUUCAUCAAUGACGGUACCUGAAGAAGAAGCACCGGCUAACUACGUGCCAGCAGCCGCGGUAAUACGUAGGGUGCGAGCGUUAAUCGGAAUUACUGGGCGUAAAGCGUGCGCAGGCGGUUCUAUAAGACAGAUGUGAAAUCCCCGGGCUUAACCUGGGAACUGCGUUUGUGACUGUAGGACUGGAGUGUGGCAGAGGGGGGUGGAAUUCCACGUGUAGCAGUGAAAUGCGUAGAGAUGUGGAGGAACACCGAUGGCGAAGGCAGCCCCCUGGGUUAACACUGACGCUCAUGCACGAAAGCGUGGGGAGCAAACAGGAUUAGAUACCCUGGUAGUCCACGCCCUAACGAUGCGAACUAGGUGUUGGAGAAGGAGACUUCUUUAGUACCGUAGCUAAC